AAUGUACGGGCACUUAGUAAAUACUGCCUGAGAUUUACCUGCUGUUGCUGGCUGGUUUUGAAGGGUUUUUUUUUUUUCUUAAGAAAGAUCUGUAUUUGUUUUCCCUUGUCUACGUCUUAAAAUGUAAUCUUACAGGUCCUGUUGUCAGUCAUGUUUUAGAAUUCAGUUUAUAUCCUUAUGUUUGCAUGGUAUACACAAUGCAAAAUGCUGUAUCUCAACACUGGGUGUCAGGCAAAGGCUUAGCUAGAAAAUCGGGGUGGGGAUCAUUUUAUUGUAGAUAAGACAAUGAAGACUUCAAUAUAAAGUGAGAUAUAAAAUAUGAAUACUUAUAAAUUAAAA
rnacentral:lncRNA from 1 species